CCCGGAGCUUUGCUCCACCGGAAAAAGAAGAGUGGCGAACGGGUGAGUAACACGUGGGUAACCUGCCCAUCAGAAGGGGAUAACACUUGGAAACAGGUGCUAAUACCGUAUAACAAUCGAAACCGCAUGGUUUUGAUUUGAAAGGCGCUUUCGGGUGUCGCUGAUGGAUGGACCCGCGGUGCAUUAGCUAGUUGGUGAGGUAACGGCUCACCAAGGCCACGAUGCAUAGCCGACCUGAGAGGGUGAUCGGCCACAUUGGGACUGAGACACGGCCCAAACUCCUACGGGAGGCAGCAGUAGGGAAUCUUCGGCAAUGGACGAAAGUCUGACCGAGCAACGCCGCGUGAGUGAAGAAGGUUUUCGGAUCGUAAAACUCUGUUGUUAGAGAAGAAUAAGGAUGAGAGUAACUGUUCAUCCCUUGACGGUAUCUAACCAGAAAGCCACGGCUAACUACGUGCCAGCAGCCGCGGUAAUACGUAGGUGGCAAGCGUUGUCCGGAUUUAUUGGGCGUAAAGCGAGCGCAGGCGGUUUCUUAAGUCUGAUGUGAAAGCCCCCGGCUCAACCGGGGAGGGUCAUUGGAAACUGGGAGACUUGAGUGCAGAAGAGGAGAGUGGAAUUCCAUGUGUAGCGGUGAAAUGCGUAGAUAUAUGGAGGAACACCAGUGGCGAAGGCGGCUCUCUGGUCUGUAACUGACGCUGAGGCUCGAAAGCGUGGGGAGCAAACAGGAUUAGAUACCCUGGUAGUCCACGCCGUAAACGAUGAGUGCUAAGUGUUGGAGGGUUUCCGCCCUUCAGUGCUGCAGCUAACGCAUUAAGCACUCCGCCUGGGGAGUACGACCGCAAGGUUGAAACUCAAAGGAAUUGACGGGGGCCCGCACAAGCGGUGGAGCAUGUGGUUUAAUUCGAAGCAACGCGAAGAACCUUACCAGGUCUUGACAUCCUUUGACCACUCUAGAGAUAGAGCUUCCCCUUCGGGGGCAAAGUGACAGGUGGUGCAUGGUUGUCGUCAGCUCGUGUCGUGAGAUGUUGGGUUAAGUCCCGCAACGAGCGCAACCCUUAUUGUUAGUUGCCAUCAUUCAGUUGGGCACUCUAGCAAGACUGCCGGUGACAAACCGGAGGAAGGUGGGGAUGACGUCAAAUCAUCAUGCCCCUUAUGACCUGGGCUACACACGUGCUACAAUGGGAAGUACAACGAGUCGCGAAGUCGCGAGGCUAAGCUAAUCUCUUAAAGCUUCUCUCAGUUCGGAUUGUAGGCUGCAACUCGCCUACAUGAAGCCGGAAUCGCUAGUAAUCGCGGAUCAGCACGCCGCGGUGAAUACGUUCCCGGGCCUUGUACACACCGCCCGUCACACCACGAGAGUUUGUAACACCCGAAGUCGGUGAGGUAACCUUUUGGAGCCAGCCGCCUAAGGUGGGAUAGAUGAUUGGG
rnacentral:rRNA from 1 species